rnacentral:rRNA from 1 species
AUACGAAGGGGGCUAGCGUUGUUCGGAAUUACUGGGCGUAAAGCGCACGUAGGCGGAUAUUUAAGUCAGGGGUGAAAUCCCAGAGCUCAACUCUGGAUCUGCCUUUGAUACUGGGUAUCUUGAGUAUGGAAGAGGUAAGUGGAAUUCCGAGUGUAGAGGUGAAAUUCGUAGAUAUUCGGAGGAACACCAGUGGCGAAGGCGGCUUACUGGUCCAUUACUGACGCUGAGGUGCGAAAGCGUGGGGAGCAAAUAGGAUUAGAUACCCUAGUAGUCC